UGAGAUUUAUCCCAGAACAUGAAAACGGGAACGCUUUAAAAAGAAAUACAGCGAACAUCGUCAAAAUUUCAAACAGUGAAAAAAGUCAAUAAAGCUUUUAUUGAGAGUUAUUAACUCCAUGAAAAGAAAACUGUUUAAAUGUUGUGUCAGCUUUGACGAGUCUGGACGUGUCUCUGCUCCAGGAAAGACUCGUGUCAGAGGCUGAGGCUUCAGAUAGAAAAACACAAACGGCGAUUUCCCAGCAACACUCGCUGCUUCUUAUCAGUCAAGUUUAUUCACAGGAAGUGGUUCUGUUUGACCUCUGAGAGCGAGACCAUGAACAUCUCAGCAUAACAGCACUCCACUGUCAAUGUGAGGAACGUUUCUUUAUUUUAUUAAACUUGAUUAAACUAAAAAAACAAAAAUAAAUUUAAAAAAACAAAGAAAUGAAACAAAAAAACUUAAUUAAACUAAGAAAACUAAAAAAAAAGACAUGAAGGACUGAAAAAAAACUAUCAAACUAAGAAAACAAAAAAAAACUAAAAAUAAAUCAUGAAUAAAUGAAAAAAAACUUAAUUAAAUUAAGAUAAAAAACUAAAAGAAGACAUGAAGUGAAAAAAUAACUUCCUCAAACUAAGAAAACAAAAAAAACAAAAAGACAUGAAGAAAUUAAAAAAUAACUUUAUUCAACUUUAUAAAACCAAAGUUUUAAUCUCACAUGUCAAAUCCUUGUAUUUCUCCUCAUUAUUGUUCAGAAUAAAAACUCCUCAGUCUCAUUAAAUCAAACCAAAACUUAAAGGCGAACACUUGAAUAUAUAUCAGCUCAGAUAAUCAUUAAUUUUUAUUUCAUGUGACAUUAAUUCUCUGACAGUUUCCUCAGGAGCUGAAGCCGGCGAACCACCCGGCUGACCACACUGACUUUGUGGUCAAAGGGCUCGUACACACUGGUGUGAAGUCUCCGACACGAGGGAAGUCAUUAGUCUUCAUUAGCAACUUCCAGGAGUUUCUUAUGAAGUGCUGUGAAGUUGUCAUUUGCCCCCUUUGCCAGGCAAGCUCGAUUUGAGGGUUUGUUUUCUUAUGAGGCGACCAAAUGUGGGCUCGGCCGGCCCCACUUUGGUCCAUGUGGGAUCAGGAUCUCUGGAGCCAGAUCUGAGAUAAUCGGUCAGACUGCUUUAUCGAGUUUAACUCUUAGAGAAAUCUGUUUGAUUUCUUUGGUUUCAUGUGCGCCUUUGGAUAAAUCCACCCCCUCCUGCUGUGGUCUCAGGUUUAACAGAGCGCCUAGAAUCAGAUCAGGCCCCGUUAUAAUAAAUCUGGUCGUGUUUUCAUGUGAUGGUUUUCCUCCUGCCCCUGUGAGCUCGUGUCGUCUCCAGGCCUCAGUGCUGCUAUCUCCACAUACCCCUCAAAGUGGCCAAUUAAGCAUCAAAAGGGCAUGCUGCAUGGCUAAUGUGGGCGAAAGGUGUGAGAUUUCUCGUCAGUCCACUCCGGGGGCUCUUUAUUGGGCUGCUAGAGAGCCGUCUGAUCCCCGGGCCCUGGCUGUAUAUUGGCAGCUGUUAACUGGAGAAGAGCACCAGGAGGAUCUGUGCAGUUAAAGCAAAUGGCCAAAGACUGACACCUGGGAGGUGGAACAUCACUGCGAAAACAAGGCGACCAGGGAGGAGAGCGGAGCGGGGAGACGUGGGGAUUCGAUCCGUUUAAAAGGUCUCUUCCUGUCUCAGUUUACAAACUGAUCCAAACAACAUUUUUAGAGUCGUGUUCUGGAUUCAGGUCUUCCUCACGUCACCUCCCUGUCCUGUCAGGAGUCUCUGCGCCUCACCUUCACCCCUGAGGCCCUUUAUCCCAGUCACACCCGCCACCUCCAGACCCAGUCCAUAAUGGGAUUGACACUGCUGCUGCUGAAACGUACACCUCAGCUCGGACUCUGACACACUCUGCUGCAAAAUCCUCGAAUAAAACUCCCCGACUAAACCUUCUUAAUCCCCGCAGCGUCUCUGUAUCUGAACUCUCAAACAGCUGCUUGACCUCUCCGACCCUGCAGAAUAGUUCAAGGGGACCCCGAUCCAGGUGAGGACAGCCACACUGGACCUGUGACGAAUAACUCCUCCACAACUGGUUUCACAUGUGGAGGAUAGAAACACGCCGCGUUUCCUCAAGGCCAAUGCUGCGCCGCCGAGAAGGGGGAAGUGCUGCGCGAGCGUUCAGAGAUGUCUGCAGCUUUAAGUGCAUCAUUACAAGCCGAGUGUUAUGUUCCUUUUAUUCGGCAUCGACCCCGCACAGAUGUGUUAAAGCGGACGGUCAAUACUUUCACAGGGAGGACUUUUAGAAGUGAACGUCUCUUUAUGCACAUUUAACUACUGAGUGCUGCAUUCGAGGACCGUCUAAAGGCUCUUAAACUCCUCUUCAUUAGGAGGAUUUCACCAGGAUGAGGGCUGCUCAGGUCAUAAUGAUCAAUAGUUUUAAUUUUAGGUGAGAAAUUCAGAGUUUGCAUCUUGAUUUCUAUCUUUUUUGCUCUAUUUUUAUGCAUAACUCUUGAUUAUGUGAAUAAAUUUAGAUUUUAAUUUUGGCUGCAGCGUUUCUAACUCUUGGAACGGCUGGUAUAUAAGCAUGACAUGUAAUCCCUCAUCCAUACAGUGACUCAAAACCAGAUUUUCCUUCUGUGCAUUGAGUCAGAGCGCCAGGCCUACAGAAGGCUUUGUAUGCAGCCUGCAGACAUGAGAAUACAGUGAGAAGUGGAGGUGGAAGUGGUGUGUUUAUGUUAGGAGAGAGCCUUCAAUUCAAAUAUUCCUGCUCCUCAUCGCUGACGCCUGCAGAGUUCAGCUUUUGUUUUGCCUCUUAAACUCGGUACCUCACAUGGGGGGAUUCUGCCUGGAUGGGGACGCUCGGGGUUGUUGGUGCAGCUCUUUCUUCUCAGACCCCUCCUGUCCCAUUCAGCUGAUUUGGACAUGUGGUGCUAACUGGCUGUUAAUUGCUUGGCUUUCUCCACAUGCAGAAACUGUCCCCUUCAAGGGAAACUGGUCUAAUGAGAUUAUCUAUCAGAGCAUGGGUCUGUCUAGACACCCCAAUACACAACACCCCCACCCCCUCACCCCCCAACGCCCACCU
rnacentral:lncRNA from 1 species